rnacentral:rRNA from 1 species
GAGUGGCGAACUGGUGAGUAACACGUGGGAAACCUGCCCAGAAGCGGGGGAUAACACCUGGAAACAGAUGCUAAUACCGCAUAACAACUUGGACCGCAUGGUCCGAGCUUGAAAGAUGGCUUCGGCUAUCACUUUUGGAUGGUCCCGCGGCGUAUUAGCUAGAUGGUGGGGUAACGGCUCACCAUGGCAAUGAUACGUAGCCGACCUGAGAGGGUAAUCGGCCACAUUGGGACUGAGACACGGCCCAAACUCCUACGGGAGGCAGCAGUAGGGAAUCUUCCACAAUGGACGAAAGUCUGAUGGAGCAACGCCGCGUGAGUGAAGAAGGGUUUCGGCUCGUAAAACUCUGUUGUUAAAGAAGAACAUAUCUGAGAGUAACUGUUCAGGUAUUGACGGUAUUUAACCAGAAAGCCACGGCUAACUACGUGCCAGCAGCCGCGGUAAUACGUAGGUGGCAAGCGUUGUCCGGAUUUAUUGGGCGUAAAGCGAGCGCAGGCGGUUUUUUAAGUCUGAUGUGAAAGCCUUCGGCUCAACCGAAGAAGUGCAUCGGAAACUGGGAAACUUGAGUGCAGAAGAGGACAGUGGAACUCCAUGUGUAGCGGUGAAAUGCGUAGAUAUAUGGAAGAACACCAGUGGCGAAGGCGGCUGUCUGGUCUGUAACUGACGCUGAGGCUCGAAAGUAUGGGUAGCAAACAGGAUUAGAUACCCUGGUAGUCCAUACCGUAAACGAUGAAUGCUAAGUGUUGGAGGGUUUCCGCCCUUCAGUGCUGCAGCUAACGCAUUAAGCAUUCCGCCUGGGGAGUACGGCCGCAAGGCUGAAACUCAAAGGAAUUGACGGGGGCCCGCACAAGCGGUGGAGCAUGUGGUUUAAUUCGAAGCUACGCGAAGAACCUUACCAGGUCUUGACAUACUAUGCAAAUCUAAGAGAUUAGACGUUCCCUUCGGGGACAUGGAUACAGGUGGUGCAUGGUUGUCGUCAGCUCGUGUCGUGAGAUGUUGGGUUAAGUCCCGCAACGAGCGCAACCCUUAUUAUCAGUUGCCAGCAUUAAGUUGGGCACUCUGGUGAGACUGCCGGUGACAAACCGGAGGAAGGUGGGGAUGACGUCAAAUCAUCAUGCCCCUUAUGACCUGGGCUACACACGUGCUACAAUGGAUGGUACAACGAGUUGCGAACUCGCGAGAGUAAGCUAAUCUCUUAAAGCCAUUCUCAGUUCGGAUUGUAGGCUGCAACUCGCCUACAUGAAGUCGGAAUCGCUAGUAAUCGCGGAUCAGCAUGCCGCGGUGAAUACGUUCCCGGGCCUUGUACACACCGCCCGUCACACCAUGAGAGUUUGUAACACCCAAAGUCG